CACGUACUUCCUCCGUCCAAAAAUACUUGUCAUCAAAAUGGAUAAAAAGAGAUGUAUCUAGAACUAAAAUACAUCUAGAUACAUCCCUUUUAUCAAUUUUGGUGACAAGUAUUUCCGGACGGAGGGAGUACAUA
rfam:Triticum aestivum genome assembly, contig: Triticum_aestivum_CS42_TGACv1_scaffold_019182_1AS